AGCCUGAUGCAGCGACGCCGCGUGGGGGAUGACGGCCUUCGGGUUGUAAACCCCUUUCAGUAGGGAAGAAGCGAGAGUGACGGUACCUGCAGAAGAAGCGCCGGCUAACUACGUGCCAGCAGCCGCGGUAAUACGUAGGGCGCAAGCGUUGUCCGGAAUUAUUGGGCGUAAAGAGCUUGUAGGUGGCUUGUCGCGUCUGCCGUGAAAACCCGAGGCUCAACCUCGGGCGUGCGGUGGGUACGGGCAGGCUAGAGUGUGGUAGGGGAGACUGGAACUCCUGGUGUAGCGGUGAAAUGCGCAGAUAUCAGGAAGAACACCGAUGGCGAAGGCAGGUCUCUGGGCCAUUACUGACACUGAGAAGCGAAAGCAUGGGUAGCGAACAGGAUUAGAUACCCUGGUAGUCCAUGCCGUAAACGUUGGGCACUAGGUGUGGGGGACAUUCCACGUUUUCCGCGCCGUAGCUAACGCAUUAAGUGCCCCGCCUGGGGAGUACGGCCGCAAGGCUAAAACUCAAAGGAAUUGACGGGGGCCCGCACAAGCGGCGGAGCAUGCUGAUUAAUUCGAUGCAACGCGAAGAACCUUACCAAGGCUUGACAUGCACUGGACGGCUGCAGAGAUGUGGCUUUCUUUGGACUGGUGCACAGGUGGUGCAUGGUUGUCGUCAGCUCGUGUCGUGAGAUGUUGGGUUAAGUCCCGCAACGAGCGCAACCCUUGUUCUAUGUUGCCAGCACGUGAUGGUGGGGACUCAUAGGAGACUGCCGGGGUCAACUCGGAGGAAGGUGGGGACGACGUCAAAUCAUCAUGCCCCUUAUGUCUUGGGCUUCCAGCAUGCUACAAUGGUCGGUACAAUGGGUUGCGAAACUGUGAGGUGGAGCGAAUCCCAAAAAGCCGGCCUCAG
rnacentral:rRNA from 1 species